AGAGAUAUAUCAAAAACGAGUUUUUCACGUAAUUGUUCGAUUCCGACACCGCAACAGAAGAGAAACCCUAGACGCAAAAUUGUUAAUCCUCCUCUACUCAUCAAUCGGAAUUCCUUUUCAAUUCACUAUGGACGCUCAGAGAGCUCUCCUCGACGAACUCAUGGGUUCAGCUCGAAACUUGACGGAGGAAGAGAGAAGGGGUUACAAGGAAGUGAGCUGGGACGAUAGAGAAGUUUGUGGAUUCUUUAUGGUCAGGUUUUGUCCUCACGAUCUCUUCGUCAACACGCGUAGUGAUCUUGGACCUUGCCCCAAAAUACAUGACCCCAAGUUGAAAGAGAGUUUUGAAAAUUCCCCAAGACAUGAUGCGUACGUACCCAAAUUUGAAGCCGAACUUUCUCAAUUUUGUGAGAAAUUGGUGAUGGACCUGGAUAAAAGAGUAAAGCGUGGUCGCGAACGUCUUAAUCAAGAGGUGGAGCUACCACCGCCGCCACCACUGACAGCUGAAAAAUCUCAACAGCUCUCUGUGCUCGAGGAGAAAAUAAAGAACCUUCUGGAACAAGUUGAAUCUCUUGGUGAAGCUGGGAAGGUUGAUGAAGCUGAAGCUCUAAUGCGAAAGGUGGAGAUACUUAAUACUGAGAAGGCAGUCUUAACACAGCCUCAAAAUGAAAAAGUGUUAAUGCUUCAGGAGAAGAAAAUGGCACUCUGUGAGGUUUGCGGUUCUUUUCUUGUAGCAAAUGAUGCUGCAGAAAGAACUCAGUCUCAUGUCGCAGGAAAGCAGCAUGUUGGCUAUGGCAUGGUUCGUGAUUUCAUAAAUGAAUACAAAACUGCUAAGGAAAAGGCUCAUGAAGAAGAAAGAUUGGCUCGGGAAAAAGAGGUAGAAGAGCGAAGAAAACAAAAGGAGAAGGAUACUGAGAGAAAAAGACCAAGUGAUUCAAGUGACAGGGAGAAAUAUCGUGAUAAAGAUCGAGACAGGGAGCGUGAUCGGUACAGAGAUAGAGACUUGGAACGUGAAAGAUCUCGGGAAUAUGAAGUUAGAGGUAAUCGAGAUCGGGGAAGGGGGAUGGAUUCUAGGUCGAGGAAUGGAAAAAAUGGGGGUAGAGACAGGUAUCACAAUCGGAGCAGAUCACGUUCGCCUAUAAGGCAUAAUUACAGAAGGUCUUGAAGUCCAGAUUGCUCCAAGUAGUGGAAUUUCUCGAUAGAUGUCAGAAUUUGAAUUUAAAAGAGGUAGACCUUAAUAUCCUGAGACUUUCAUCAAUAUGUUCUUUUGGAGUCUUAAUUUUUCUCAUCAUCAAGGGUGAAUUUACCUUUUUCCCAUCUCAGAGCUUUCCUGAGAAUAUACAAUCUCCUUUUCAUCAAUAUUAUUUGUGGAGAAAAGGGUCGAGUCUUUCUUUACCUGCAUUUUCUGGAAAUCAUUUGAUUGAGUAAAGAUGUCAGACACAAAAUUACAUGAGUGCUUGUCAUUGCUGCAAAAGUGGAUGGUUUACUCUUGUUUUGAGGUUUAUAAAUGCUCUGCUUAUUCUGACAUGCAUUUGACAUUGAACUACUACACUCCGAAGGCACCGGUUUAGACUAUAUAGGUAAAUUUACUGAAUUUGUUAGAUGUUUCCCCAAUCUACCGAAUUGUCAUUUAUAAUAUAUUUGGGGGAAGAAAAAGCAAGUGCAUUUUCCACUUAACAGUUUCCUUUGAAUUUAUCUAAUUGGUAAUGAUUGUGAUGAAUUAGAUCAGCAAUAAAAAUAUAACUUGAUAUAUAAAAUGCUGUUUGAAUGGAACAUUCAUAGGAUUGAAAAUACAGGUAUUUGGCUCUUUUCCAAGUUAUAUGAUAUCAUUUGCAUGAAAAACCAUCAUUGAACUGGGGUCUUAGGUUGCUUCCCUUUGUUUUGAACAACAAGUGUCUGGGUGAUGAGAGGUAAUUGGCUCUCACAUGUCUGUUAACGAGUUUUAAAUUUAGUGUCAAGAAGCACCAUUCUCGUUUUGAUGUUUAGUUGUUAGGUAACUUCUGGACGUGAUUCAGCAGGAAAAUAACUGCCUCUUGAUUGGUGAAAGGACAAUAAAAGUGAUCAUGUUAUAUUAUUCAAUUGGCACUUGGCAGUCAAACUUUUGGUAUAUACACAUGAUAGUGGCCAUGUGCAUAUUUUCAAAAUUCAGUCUUAAUGAUGUAAAAUUCUAGGAAAAUAAAAAGAGCAAUUUUGGACAUGAUAUUGGGUGAUUUUAUUUUCAUGUUGGAGCUGUUAUAGUUUCAGAUAUCAAGUUUAAAGAUGUAUUUUGAUUUUAAAAAGUUAACGAAGUCUAGUUAGUAAAUGUAUAUUCACAAGCAUAAUUAUUGAAAUAUUUUGAAAAUAUCGGAUUGAUAUAUCAUUUGUAAAAAAUGUUAAUAAGGCUUAGAUUAAAAUCUACAACCCGCCCAAAUGUGAAAUGAGAAUCUUCUUUCAGAAAUGUCUUGAAAAAAAUACCCAAGGACGAUUGAAAUGUAUAAUAGUUGAUGUAUCGGUAGAUUGAUUAGUAUUUAAUCUGGUAUGUAUCUGCUUAGCAUAGACAACAUGGCAAUAUCGAUUCUUGUUAUUUUCUUAAAGCGUUCCCACAAAACGAUCUAUUCCACUAUAUUAAAAACAAAAAGAUCUAUUCUUGGUCAUAAAGCUAGGGCAAUUUCUCAUCCCACACAUGUUAUAUGAGACACUUUUAAAAUUUUGAAAAUGUUUUUAGGUGAAUUUGGAGAUGCAUUUUUGAAUACAUCUUUUAAAAAACAAGCAACACAUUUUAUUGAAAUUGUUGUAGUUGUUGGAGAAUCUUUGACGAUUUUAAUCAAUAUUAGAGUCAUAAGAAUUGUAUCCUUAUGUUUUGACCCCUGCUUUCCCGCGUUUUCUACUUGUACGUGACUUAAAGUAAAAAGCUCAGGGAUCAAAGUGACAAAAUAUGGGACACCACUCUAAAAACCUUAAAUCCCUUAAUUUUCUAUUUUAUUUGAUUUAUUUUCCGUUUUCAUAUUUUUGAAAAAAUCCAGAAAAAUUUGUAGACACUUAAUAUGGUUUUUAGUUGCAUUUUUUAUAUUUUUAUAAUUUUAUUUUAAUUGUUUUCCUCAAUAAAGAGAAAUUGUUGGUAUUUACA